CUGACUGUUCUCCUAGCUAAUUCACUUUUUUAUCACACCCAUGGCUGUGAGGGCAAGGCUGUUUCCACUCUUUGAUAAUUAACACAGCUGCAAUGUAUGGGAGGUAAGAUUGCCUUUAGCACUAUCUCUGUCUUCCCACACAUCUUUAUUCAGGUACAACCAAAUAUAUAAAAAGAAGGACAGAGAGGAUGCAGAUAAAAGAUUUCUGUCAGCAUUCCUCUGAUGGAUUUCUAAGAUACAGGACUAGCACCAUAUGUUACUGCUAAUGAAGAGAACUAAUGGGGAAGGCAGAUAGCUCAUCCUAAGAGGAUAGAUUAAAAAGUUGCAUAGUUUCUUGAAGUAAGAAACUUCUUUGACACUGUUGAGCUAUUUUAACUUUGGUUGGACAUUAUAGGGCUUCAAAGAAGAUGAGAGGUAUUAACAUCUCAUUUGAAAAUGGGAUGAGUUGUAGUUUUGCAAUCCCAGGACUACCUUUAGCUUUAGAGAUAACCUCAUCUCUAAUGACACUGUUUCAAAAAUAUGCUCGGCCUAAUUUCACUUCAGGCUGUUUGUUAAUAAGACAAGUUUUCUACAGCAGGAGAGGUUUAAAGGUUAUGAAAGAGGAAUCAAAAUUAUGAAUUCAUAGGGAAAAAUGUAAAGAAUGGAGAAUCCUUGGAACCAGGGUUAACUUCACUGAUCCCAGAUAUUUAAUAUGUGAAAACAAUUCUCAAAAAGGAAAAAUGAUCUUUUAAAAGCUCAGAAGAAACAACUGACACAGCUGGAUGUUAAAAUUAUGUCUCCAAAUUCUUGUCCUAUGUUUGGCAUGAAUGAAAAGCUAUUUCAGGUACCCUGUGGCUCCCUCUCUGCUGGUUUCUGCUAGUAGCAUGGCAUGUUAAAAGACAUUUCACUAUGGAAAGAAGAAACAGACUUCUUGGUAUCCACAGGAAAUUGUCAAGGACACUGAGACAUUCACAGGACAAGCACUGCAACAAAAUGGACAAAUUUCAUUGUUUAAGUAUAGGUAUUGCUAGGCAAUGGACAAGCAUAGGAACAAGUGAUUACAAAAUUCCAGCUGCUACUGUAAGAUUUAGUAUUUGGUGUCAGAUCUAGCCUCAGAUCAAGCUUUGUGGUUAAUGAAUGUUUUGCCAUUAAGUAAGGUAUGACCAUACAUGAAAAAAAGAGCUCAUUAUGGUGAAGGUAUCAGCCAUGACAACAUUAAUCAUUCUAAACACAUUCACAGGUGAAAUAGGUUGAAUUAUAAGGUUCCUGGAAAGUGGAAAGGAACAUUUUACUUAUAUCUUGCCAUCUCUUUUUUCACUCCUGAGCAGUACAUUUUCUGAAGUCAAGAAUAUCCUGUCUAACAUCAAGAACAUAGGACUGGACUAAAUGCAUAAUGAUACAAUAGGACUGACAGGGUAUUGAUGGAUUCAGCAGUGUUUCCCUGUGUCUUGAUGUUUCCAUGUUAAAGACUAACACUUCAUUUUGUCAUUGCAUCCUUUAUAACGCUUGCAAAAAUUAUAUGUUAAACACAGGCUGAAGACUUCAACAAUGAAAGAGAUAGAAAGUGUGACUUCAUAAUUCAGUACAAUUUCAGUAUGCAUUGCAUUUUCUUUUUCAAAAUAGAGAGAACACCCUGAAGACUUGACUAACUUUCCCUCCACCAUUUUCUCAUCACUGUAUAUUAUGCCAUUAGAGUUAAGGAUCUCAUUUACCCAUGAGCCUGAUGUUGUAUCUUGUAAAAACUUAUACACUUCCAAAGACCAUAUUUGCAAAAAUUAUACUUAUGUUGAAGAUACUUAUAAGAUACUUAGAACUGUGAUGACAUUUCCCCAAAUGAGGCUUUUAUGAAAGAACUAAUUCUUAUGUGGGUUUUUUAUUGUUUUUUCUUAAAACUACUUGCUUUCUUCACUGAAGACAUUGUAAGUGGUAGUUUAAAAGAAUCUUGAUAUCAAAUCUGAUGUUUGAACUGAUUGGUGAGCUGCACGGGCUCAACAAAGCCUUGUAAUAUACUUUGCUUUGCAGUUAUCUCAUAGGAUGUUUGAUUUCAAAAGCAAAUAAUGAGCCUCAAUUUCUUUUACAGAUCUUCUGGUAAGCAAACAUUUUUUGAUUUCUAUU